GACGAACGCUGGCGGCGUGCUUAAUACAUGCAAGUCAACUGAACUUAAGGUAGCAAUAUUUUAAGGGAGGUGGCGCACGGGUGAGUAACACGUAGGUAAUCUGCCUUUAGGUCUGACACAACCUACCGAAAGGUAGGCUAAUAUCAGAUGAUGCAGCGGCUCGACAUCGAGACAGUUGUUAAACCUUCGGGGCCUAAAGAUGAGCCUGCGUCUGAUUAGGUAGUUGGCGGAGUAAUAGCCCACCAAGCCUGCGAUCAGUAGCUGGUCUGAGAGGAUGAUCAGCCACACUGGAACUGAGACACGGUCCAGACUCCUACGGGAGGCAGCAGUCGGGAAUAUUGGACAAUGGGGGCAACCCUGAUCCAGCCAUGCCGCGUGAGUGAAGAAGGCCCUCGGGUUGUAAAGCUCUUUGUCCGGAAAGAAAGCAAUCGGUUAAUACCCGGUUGUCUGACGGUACCGGAAGAAUAAGCACCGGCUAACUUCGUGCCAGCAGCC
rnacentral:rRNA from 1 species